rnacentral:tRNA from 1 species
AGGGGUUUAGGAUAAGAAUAGACCGAGGGCCUUCAAAGCCCUAAGCAAGAGUGAAAAUCUCUUAACCCCUG